UACGUAGGGUGCAAGCGUUUAAUCGGAAUUACUGGGCGUAAAGCGUGCGCAGGCGGUUUGGUAAGACAGAUGUGAAAUCCCCCGGGCUUAACCUGGGAAUUGCAUUUGUGACUGCCCGGCUAGAGUGUGUCGGAGGGGGGGUAGAAUUCCACGUGUAGCAGUGAAAUGCGUAGAGAUGUGGAGGAAUACCGAUGGCGAAGGCAGCCCCCUGGGAUAACACUGACGCUCAUGCACGAAAGCGUGGGGAGCAAACAGG
rnacentral:rRNA from 1 species